rnacentral:lncRNA from 1 species
CUCUAUAACUGUAGCACCUCGACCCUUGGUCCAACGACCAUCCACUCUGAUAAAAUCCAUACGUCGAAGGGAGAAGUCAUUGUAAGUGUUAGUGUUCCGCAAUCUACACACAACCUUAUUGCCCAGAUAUGUAACCCAAAAGGGGGGGGGGUGAAUUGAGUCUUUUUGAAUUUUUAAAGAUUGAACUACUUAAGCAAUGUGCC